UGGGGAAUAUUGCACAAUGGGCGCAAGCCUGAUGCAGCCAUGCCGCGUGUGUGAAGAAGGCCUUCGGGUUGUAAAGCACUUUCAGCGGGGAGGAAGGCGUUAAGGUUAAUAACCUUGGCGAUUGACGUUACCCGCAGAAGAAGCACCGGCUAACUCCGUGCCAGCAGCCGCGGUAAUACGGAGGGUGCAAGCGUUAAUCGGAAUUACUGGGCGUAAAGCGCACGCAGGCGGUUGAUUGAGUCAGAUGUGAAAUCCCCGGGCUUAACCCGGGAAUUGCAUCUGAUACUGGUCAGCUAGAGUCUUGUAGAGGGGGGUAGAAUUCCAUGUGUAGCGGUGAAAUGCGUAGGGAUGUGGAGGAAUACCGGUGGCGAAGGCGGCCACCUGGACAAAGACUGACGCUCAGGUGCGAAAGCGUGGGGAGCAAACAGG
rnacentral:rRNA from 1 species